UCUUGGUCCAUUUAGAGGAAGUAAAAGUCGUAACAAGGUUUCCGUAGGUGAACCUGCGGAAGGAUCAUUAACCUUUCAAAAAACAGGGUGCGUCGCGGCCCCCCUCCGGGGGCGGUUUGGGGUCCUCCCCUUCACGCGCGCACGACUGCAUCCUUACUUUACGAGCACCUUCUGUUCUCCCUCGGCGGGGCAACCUGCCGUUGGAACCGAAUAAACCCUUUUUUGCAUCCAGCAUUACCCGUUCCGAAACAAACAAUCGUUACAACUUUCAACAAUGGAUCUCUUGGCUCUGGCAUCGAUGAAGAACGCAGCGAAAUGCGAUAAGUAGUGUGAAUUGCAGAAUUCAGUGAAUCAUCGAAUCUUUGAACGCACAUUGCGCCCCUUGGUAUUCCGGGGGGCAUGCCUGUUCGAGCGUCAUCUACACCCUCAAGCUCUGCUUGGUGUUGGGCGUCUGUCCCGCCUCAGCGCGCGGACUCGCCCCAAAUCCAUUGGCAGCGGUCCUUGCCUCCUCUCGCGCAGCACAUUGCGCUUCUCGAGGGGCUCCGGCCCGCGUCCAACAAGAAAACAUUUACCGUCUUUGACCUCGGAU
rnacentral:rRNA from 1 species